rnacentral:lncRNA from 1 species
GGGGGGGAUCUAACUCAGGGUCAUACUCUACCACUGAGCUGCAUCCCUAUCCGUUUUUGUUUUAAAACAGGAUUGCCCUAAAUUGCCCUGGCCAGCUUCGAACUUGCCAUCCUCAUGCUUUAGCCUCCGGAGAAGCUGGAAUUACAGGAGAAUUUUAUCAUCUAGCCAGUCCGCAAGGCAUUCGGCAAACGCGGACUGGAUCUCCGGCCGCGCGGAUCAGGUGGAGUUUCGGGGCCCAGGAACUCCAGUGGCUGCGGCCGCCAAGGAAGGGGGCAGGGCUGCCGGGACCCACCGGCUGAAAAUGGCAGAGGAUGUGCUCUUCAUUUUAUCAG